GAGGGUAUAGCUCAGUGGUAGAGCACAUACUUAGUGUGCACAAGGUCUUGGGUUCAAUCCCCAGUGCCUCCA
rfam:Camelus ferus unplaced genomic scaffold scaffold1310, whole genome shotgun sequence.